rnacentral:lncRNA from 1 species
UUGCCAUCUCAGAGUUAACAGGAGAGCCUGUGGUAGGGAGAAAAACAAGCAAACCUAUCUUUCUUGGGCAAAGAAUACAUUUUAUGUAGGUACAUAGAAAUGUAAGUGAACUGGAGGUAUUGGUUCCACUCAUAUGACUAAAAUUACACACAGAUCAGCACAUACAUACAUACAGGCACCCACUUGUGUGUACAUCCAGUAUAGGCAUAAAUACACACAUAUGCAUAUGUACACACGUGCACACGCGCACACACACACAUAUAUUCAUACCCUAUAAAUUCUUCUGGUCUCUGAACCCAUCUUAGCAAUUUCUCUCUUUCUCUUCCUCUCUCUGUCUCUCCCUCUCCUAUGUGGCUUGGUGGUACUUACUCAGUCCAUGCACCCAUUGUCUCCCAAAACACACAUGCUCAAGCAAGUAUACACACGGGUGCACACUGAUGUGUAAGCAUGCACCCAAGGCAGGUGUGCACGUAUAGUUUACCACACCACAGACUACAGGGCAGAUGUCUCCUGCUCUCCUCUGAAUACUUUUUGAGGAGUUGGUUUCCAUCUUUGCCUGUUUUUUCUGCAUGUCUCUCUCCUCCAUUAAUCUCUCAAAGGCACACAGAAACUCCUCUUAUACAUACCAUGCCCACAUAUUUCUUCCAUUGCUUGAUCAAUACACUUCUGGACUCUAAGAACUGUUUAGGGAUGUUUCUGGGGAAUGUUAAAAAGACAUAGAAUUGCUAAUCCUUACCAGAAUUCAGUGUUAUGAUCACAUCAUUUCUUCUGGGACAGUACUGUAGGAUAGUACCAGAUGAUGAGAAUGGCACUGUGACUUUGUCACCACCUGGCCAUAAGAUCACAAGUAAAUCUUCUGAUCAUUUUGUAUUUGCAGCUCCUCAGGGAUGGUGAGGAUGCCCAAACCUGCCUCAUGAGCUUUCAAAACGGAAUCAUGGGGAAGACUGGUUCUAAUUCUUCUCUGCCUCUUAAUGGUAUCAGCUUCUCUGGGAACAACAGAGCUGUGCUUGCUGAUCAUAGAACACUCUGGAGGACGAAGUCAGCUAUAUUUCAUUUCUGGAGCAGAUACAGUGAUGGUUAUUAACAGGACAGGUCCUGUCCACAAAGGCAGCAUGGAGGUUCGGGUCCAACAGGAGCAUCCCCAUCACAGACCAGUUCCAAGCCUCUUCCUGGGAAUGAGAACUGAUGUCUUGUAUCCAUUGUGUCUUCACUUCUGUGACCACAAAAGGAUCUAUUCCUCCAUCCCACUAACUUAGGAUAUCCAACUGCCUGGAAAACAUUAACAACGUAUUUCAAUUCUACAGACUAAAUCUACUAUGUUGUUUGGUUCUAAAAUCGGUAACUCUCCUCAAGUCAUUUCCACGGAACCUUCUGCUUAACCAGUGCUGUUUCUUAUUCUUACUGUUGCUGUUAUCACUGAGGGUCCAGGCACAGUGAAAGAAUCAUAAUCAAGACUGACUUGAGAGAUACUUAGAAAGAUAAAGCAAUCAUGGAUGUUCUUCAAGGGACUAGGAACCCAUUUAUUGAACAUCAUGUAUGUAUCAGGCACUCUGCUGAAUACAUAACACAUGACAGCCUCUAAUCAUUCUAACUAUUGUAUCAGGUAGUUGUUAUGAGACUAAUUACAUAGACAAGGAAACUUCAACUAAACCUCUUUCUUCCUAGAAUACGAGACAAUGGUAGGUUUUAUUUUUGUCAGUUAAAUACACUAGUAAUAACUCAGAAUAUCCAAACAUGCAUCAGGGUUGCAUUAAGGAAAGGGAACCAAAUGAAUGCUUUCUUUCGGAGUAUUUUUACCAAUAGUAAGCCCCAGUUCGAAUUCUCUACUUUGUCCCUGUGUUUUCUGUUUUCUGCUCUCUGUUGCAUGUGUCUGAAUCUGUGUCCCUAUGUUUGCCUGAUGUCUAACUGCCCCUGGUCCCUAACAUAGAGCUCUGCUUUUUUUUUCAUUGGUCAGUGCAGAAAACAUCAGAUGGAGAAGGAAUAAGGAAUACUUUAUGGAGAUCUUUAACAGAAUUCGUUCUACAAGAGAAUGAACUUUACUGACUCCAGCUGACUCAGACAACAAACAGCACUGCAGUUAUCACUGCACACAUAGUUAUCAACCUAUGCUUCCAGUAUCCACAGUGAAUAUUUGUUUUGUAAAGUUGCUUUCAACUUAUUUGUUGUUUUCAGCAUUUAUUAAUAUACCAUCUAUUUCCACAUCCAUUGCU